rnacentral:rRNA from 1 species
GAAAUUUGAGAGGAGCUGUCCUUAGUACGAGAGGACCGGGAUGGACACACCGCUGGUGUACCAGUUGUUCCGCCAGGAGCAUCGCUGGGUAGCUAUGUGUGGCAGGGAUAAACGCUGAAAGCAUCUAAGCGUGAAGCCCCCCUCAAGAUGAGAUUUCCCAUUUCUUCGGAAAGUAAGAUCCCUGAAAGAUGAUCAGGUAGAUAGGUUUGGAGUGGAAGUGUAGCGAUACAUGGAGCGGACAAAUACUAAUCGAUCGAGGACUUAACCAAAA